UACGUAGGUGGCAAGCGUUGUCCGGAAUUAUUGGGCGUAAAGCGCGCGCAGGCGGCUUCUUAAGUCUGAUGUGAAAUCUUGCGGCUCAACCGCAAGCGGUCAUUGGAAACUGGAGGACUUGAGUGCAGAAGAGGAAAGCGGAAUUCCAAGUGUAGCGGUGAAAUGCGUAGAGAUUUGGAGGAACACCAGUGGCGAAGGCGGCUUUCUGGUCUGUAACUGACGCUGAGGCGCGAAAGCGUGGGGAGCAAACAGG
rnacentral:rRNA from 1 species